AUUUGGAAAAUGAAUACAUUGUUGCAAGAACUCACAUUGUUGGCCAUAAUGUUUGUGAUAAUGUUGUUGACUUACCAGAUGUCCUGGAAAUUCCUGGGGUGGAAGUAUUUCCAGGCGCUCCAAACUCCUCUGUGUCGCUGCAGAAUUGGAUGACAACCACGGUUAGAAAGUGUUCUCAAGACAACUGUGCCAAGUACUGAAAAACGGACCAAAAACUGAUUCAAGAUUCUCAGGUCAAGGGGAUCUCUGAGUGGCUCAGUGGUUGAGCACCUGCCUUCAGCCCAAGGCAUGAUCCUAGAGACCCAGGAUCAAGUCCCACAUCCGGCUCCCUGCAUGGAACCUGCUUCACCCUCUGCCUGUGUCUGCCUCUGUCUCUG
rnacentral:lncRNA from 1 species